UCGGGAGGGAUCAUUA
rnacentral:rRNA from 1 species